AGACAGUCAAGUUUUCAUCGGCAGUAGAUGCGCAACAACUUGUCAGCAAACUAGUAAGGGAGAAUAAAGAGCGAUUUAAUACCGCGUCAGAGGAUGGGUGGUGACACAACCUUGCAGGAGAACAUUGUGGCCACAGCCUGUGUGUUGCUGGUAAUAGCUUUCAUCGUCUUCCUCUUAGUGGUGGCGCGAACUAUUGUUGUCAAGUGGCCCCGACUGUCGGAGGACUUGUUAGAAGUGGAGCCGAUCUGUGACCAGAUGGAGGUCUGGUCGGUACACCAGACUGAGGCCUGUACCAGCGACUCCACAUCUCCGGAAACGGAGAAAUUCAUUAAACAUUAAGAUGCUCGGCGGUGAAAUAUUCAUGUGCUUGUUCAUCAAAAUAUGUACUUCCGAAAUUUGAGUACAUAAAAAAAAAAAAAACCCACCUAAAAACUGAAAUACUGUAUGCAUGUGCAGUACCAAUAAAGAAAAUCACUGAAGGGCUUGCUUACGACUAAAUUUCUUUAGUGUAUUGGUUUUGCGGAGAUUCCCGCUAGCUAUCUACAAAGAUGUUUCAAUGUAUUGGAAAACAAUGAAAUAGUGUGUAUUUACAGUGCCAUCAAUCUGAUCAUUUAGUCGUAUUUACAACCAGACUACAGAUCUUUCGGAUAAGGAAUGGUUUUUCCAUCCCUUAUCAAGUGAACGCACUCUGCACAAUUGUGUAAUUUCAAUUAAAACUACAAUUCCAGAAACUGAUACAAUCAACAAAAUGGAUGCAUGUUGAUAAAAUGCAGCUUUGCUUCUCUCCUCACACCCGAGUAUGAAAUACAUAUCAUGCCUCACCAAAUAUUGCGUCUCAUCUCUUGUUGUUAAAAUCUGUUUAAUCCACAGCAUAGUUUCAAAUGUUUACAUCUUAAAUUGCUAAGAAUUAGUAUUUACGUUCAAUGUUUUCAUUAUUAUUCAAUGCAUAUGUCAAAAUUUAACUCCUGGUUUGUGCAAGUACUUUCAAUGUGAAAAUAAAAAUAAAUAACACAAUAUCCUGUAA